GAAUGUGUUGCUUUGCUGGCCUACGAACGGCCAUCGGAGUCUGCUGUUGGUUAUCUUCUAAAAGACUCACAGCGCGAAAUUGUAGCGGACACAGUAAAUGCAAUGAUAUUGUCUACAAAUCCCAACAUGAAAGAAGCAAAAAAUUGCCUGCACUCCCAUCUUGAGAGGUU